GACGGAGGGGGCUAGCGUUGUUCGGAAUUACUGGGCGUAAAGCGCACGUAGGCGGCCUUUCGAGUCAGGCGUGAAAGCCCCGGGCUUAACCCGGGAAUUGCGUUUGAUACUGUUGGGCUUGAGACCGGGAGAGGAUAGCGGAAUUCCCAGUGUAGAGGUGAAAUUCGUAGAUAUUGGGAAGAACACCAGUGGCGAAGGCGGCUAUCUGGACCGGUACUGACGCUGAGGUGCGAAAGCCAGGGGAGCAAACGGG
rnacentral:rRNA from 1 species